rnacentral:rRNA from 1 species
AAACGUAGGUGGCGAACGUUAUCCGGAUUUACUGGGCGUAAAGCGCUCGCAGGCGGCUUCGUAAGUCUGACGUGAAAGCUCCCGGCUUAACUGGGAGAGGCCGUUGGAUACUGCGGAGCUUGAGGGCAGGAGAGGAGAGUGGAAUUCCCGGUGUAGCGGUGGAAUGCGUAGAUAUCAGGAGGAACUCCAGUGGCGAAGGCGACUCUCUGGCCUGACCCUGACGCUCAGGAGCGAAAGCGUGGGGAGCGAACAGGAUUAGAAACCCUAGUAGUCC